rnacentral:rRNA from 1 species
CCAGAGAUGGAUUGGUGCCUUCGGGAACGUCUGACACAGGUGCUGCAUGGCUGUCGUCAGCUCGUGUCGUGAGAUGUUGGGUUAAGUCCCGUAACGAGCGCAACCCUUGUCCUUAGUUACCAGCACGUUAUGGUGGGCACUCUAAGGAGACUGCCGGUGACAAACCGGAGGAAGGUGGGGAUGACGUCAAGUCAUCAUGGCCCUUGCGGCCUGGGCUACACACGUGCUACAAUGGUCGGUACAAAGGGUUGCCAAGCCGCGAGGUGGAGCUAAUCCCAUAAAACCGAUCGUAGUCCGGAUCGCAGUCUGCAACUCGACUGCGUGAAGUCGGAAUCGCUAGUAAUCGUGAAUCAGAAUGUCACGGUGAAUACGUUCCCGGGCCUU